rnacentral:Y_RNA from 1 species
GGCUGCUCCGAAAGUAGUGAGUUAUCUCACUUGAUUGUUCGCAGUCAGUUACAAAUUGAACUCCUUGUUCUACUACUUUACCCCCUCCUCAUUACUGCACUUGACUAGUCUAAA